GACGAACGCUGGCGGCGUGCCUAAUACAUGCAAGUAGAACGCACAGUUUAUACCGUAGCUUGCUACACCAUAGACUGUGAGUUGCGAACGGGUGAGUAACGCGUAGGUAACCUGCCUGGUAGCGGGGGAUAACUAUUGGAAACGAUAGCUAAUACCGCAUAAUAUUAAUUAUUGCAUGAUAAUUAAUUGAAAGGUGCAACUGCACCACUACCAGAUGGACCUGCGUUGUAUUAGCUAGUAGGUGAGGUAACGGCUCACCUAGGCGACGAUACAUAGCCGACCUGAGAGGGUGAUCGGCCACACUGGGACUGAGAUACGGCCCAGACUCCUACGGGAGGCAGCAGUAGGGAAUCUUCGGCAAUGGACGAAAGUCUGACCGAGCAACGCCGCGUGAGUGAAGAAGGUUUUCGGAUCGUAAAGCUCUGUUGUAAGAGAAGAACGGGUGUGAGAGUGGAAAGUUCACACUGUGACGGUAUCUUACCAGAAAGGGACGGCUAACUACGUG
rnacentral:rRNA from 1 species